UACGUAGGGAGCAAGCGUUGUCCGGAAUCAUUGGGCGUAAAGCGCGCGUAGGCGGCCUCGUAAGUCCGCUGUGAAAGUCAAAGGCUCAACCUUUGAAAGCCGGUGGAUACUGUGGGGCUAGAGUACGGAAGAGGCGAGUGGAAUUCCUGGUGUAGCGGUGGAAUGCGUAGAUAUCAGGAGGAACACCAAUAGCGAAGGCAGCUCGCUGGGACGUUACUGACACUGAGGCGCGAAAGCGUGGGGAGCGAACAGG
rnacentral:rRNA from 1 species